UGCACCGUUUUACCGUAGAGUAGGUCCAUGGUUUAACAAAUCAAGAGGAUAAACGUCAUAGUACUCCAACGCUGGAUAAACAUAGGACAAAUCAUUUCCACUGACCAUUUUGAGUAGUGUUAAAACAGGGAUCUGUCCACAUAGAAAAUAUAGUGAGAGCAAAAGAAUCAGAUGGAUCAGAUAUCGUGGAAAUAGUUAAUGAG